rnacentral:rRNA from 1 species
GGUUAAAAAGCUCGUAGUUGGAUCUCGGCGGUCCGUGGGCGGUUCGCUUGAUUGAGUGCUACUGCUCUAUAGGCCGUGGUUUUGCCAGAGGUCUCGGGGUGCUCUUAACCGAGUGUCCUGCGAUGCUGGCAGGUUUACUUUGAAAAAAUUAGAGUGCUCAAAGCAGGCUUUUACGCCUGAAUAUUCGUGCAUGGAAUAAUAGAAUAGGAAGUCGUUUCUAUUUUGUUGGUUUUCGGAAAUCGACUUAAUGAUUAAUAGGGACAGUCGGGGGCAUUUGUAUUCAAACGACAGAGGUGAAAUUCUUGGACCGUUUGAAGACAAACUACUGCGAAAGCAUUUGCCAAGAAUGUUUUCAUUAAUCAAGAACGAAAGUUAGAGGUUCGAAGGCGAUUAGAUACCGCCCUAGUUCUAACCAUAAACGAUGCCAGCUAGCGAUCUGCCGACGUUUUCUUUGUAGACUCGGCAGGAAGCUUCCGGGAAACCAAAGCAUUUGGGUUCCAGGGGAAGUAUGGUUGCAAAGCUGAAACUUAAAGGAAUUGACGGAAGGGCACCACCAGGUGUGGAGCCUGUGGCUUAAUUUGACUCAACACGGGAAAUCUCACCAGGCCCGGACGCUGGAAGGAUUGACAGAUUGAUAGCU